rnacentral:rRNA from 1 species
AACGAACGCUGGCGGCAGGCUUAACACACGCAAGUCGAACGCCCCGCAAGGGGAGUGGCAGACGGGUGAGUAACACGUGGGAACGUGCCCUAAGGUUCGGAAUAUUCCCGGGAAACAGGGAGCAAUACCGAAUGUGUCCGAGAGGAGAAAGAUUUAUCGCCUUAGGAUCGGCCCGCGUCGGAUUAGCUAGUUGGUGGGGUAAUGGCCUACCAAGGCGACGAUCCGUAGCUGGUCUGAGAGGACGACCAGCCACACUGGGACUGAGACACGGCCCAGACUCCUACGGGAGGCAGCAGUGGGGAAUCUUGGACAAUGGGCGCAAGCCUGAUCCAGCCAUGCCGCGUGGAUGAUGAAGGCCUUAGGGUUGUAAAAUCCUUUCGCCGAGGACGAUAAUGACGGUACUCGGAGAAGAAGCUCCGGCUAACUUCGUGCCAGCAGCCGCCGUAACAC